ensembl:lncRNA
CAUGACUUCAGAAGACUUGGAAUAUAACAAACGAUUCGCAUAGACCACAUUAAUGUGGAUUUUGUAGCCCUUUUAAGCUUGAAAGCCUUUGAGAGCGGCCAGUGCAACGACAGGAAAUUUAAUACAAUCAAGACAAAGUCAGGAGAUUCAACACCGAUGUCAGAGCCACGGCAGAGAGAGGAGAGCCAGCAACUGGAAGUGUUUUAGGAAGGUGAGAGAAAGCGAGAUUUGGGCCUCCACAUCCAGGCCCUCCGGGGGUUUUUUUCAGUCAGAUGGGCAUGUCGUGCCUGCGCGGGGUCAGCAGGUUUACACAGAAAAGCCUCCUUGGGGUCUGAUAAUGUAACAGCCAUUUGCUACGGCAUUGUUGAAGUGUUUUCUUGAACUCACAGAGCCUAAACUCUGUGACCUGAAGUCCGUGUCUGACAUGGAGGCUGUUAG